GGAAACACAUUGCUCUUCUGUUAAACUAAGAUGAAAUCUCUUUCUUAGGUUCUGAAUUGUUCGGGGACCACCCUUGAAACAAGGGUAACCAGAAUCCUGAAGCAUCUCGACAAGAAGAAUUAUACGCUCUGCGUGCUUCCGACAUGUGAGAAACCCUUGGAUGCAUAGAACUUUGAAAUAAUCAAAGAACUCGCUUGGAACUCCUUCAGCAUCAGAAUCCAUGAUCUCAAGAAGUUCACGUGUCAAUUUAAAUGGUGCACUUUCAAAAUUUACACCUCCAGGUGAAUUAGAUAGCAUGAAACCAAAGUCAAUGUGUAUGAUAUGUCCUUCUUCGUCCAAUAGAAGAUUUCCGUUGUGUCGAUCCUUUAUCUGCAAAAGGUAGCAAACCAGAGAAUAUCCAGCCAUGCUUUCAACAAAAUUUCUCUGGGCAAGCUUAAAGGUUGGAGAAUUCUCCAGAUACUUGGCAACAUAAAAUUCACGUAGACUUGUGAUGUGAGGAAAUCUACUUUUAAUAGAAUGAAUUGAGGCCGUAUCUGGAAUUGUUUCAAUUAAAGCAGUAUAAGAGGAUGUAACUAAGACUUCAUAAGGACGCAACCAAAGCGGCAGACCAGCUUCCUGGAAGAUAUCGUAGAAGUGGGAGAUAAGUUGUACAGCAAGAUGCUCUUGUCUGCAAUCAUCACCACUCUUCACGAUGAAAGAUCUCAAGUCCCACCCAGGUAAUUUCCCAUAACCAGAGCAUUUGCGUAUUCUUUCCUUCUUGACUUCCCAGAGUUCUCCAGAAAGUGCAUCACUAACAUUGGGAAGACCACCAUUUGUGACCUUAGGUUGUGCAUCAGAUGAAUCCUGACCAGCACCUUUCAAAGGUAGUCCA
rnacentral:misc_RNA from 1 species